UAAGAGAUCUCUCCAAUUUCUCCAAAUCAGACCAAAAUAAUCUCUUAUUUUAUAUUACCAGCUGCACAUACGAUGAUGUCAGAUUUACAGAUGAACAUCUGUACUGUGAAAACCUGCACCUGCUCUGUCUGACACCUUCAGAUGGUCUUAUAUUGACUUCAUAGCAUUGAAGAGACAUCACGCUAACACCUGUGAUGUAACACAUUUAACACAGACUGAGAAUCUAUGAGAUCCGAUGGUCUUCUAACUGUUUCCAGUUACGUGGCCAGCUGGUCAGAACCGUGUUGUGUUGAAGACCACCCAAACCACCAGCCUGAACCAGAUGUGAGGUGGCAUCUCUCAUGUUGGAGGAAAUAACCACCUGACAAAAUCCUUUAACCUUCUCUGCCUCCAUGAGCUUCCUUAAAGACUGAGAAAUCAGAUAAGAAAAAUAAAUCUGCUGGCUCUGAGCAUAGUUUUCGAGGUAUGUGCCCUCCAGCGCCGUUCCCACGAUGGUCAAACCUUUCCCUGCCUUCAGCUGACUGGUCAGAGAGAGCAGACGAGGCUGUUCAACAUUCAGCUCGGCGUCCAUACUGACCAGGACCAAUAUUUGAGGCCUGUAAAGAGAGAUGUGACAAACAUCAACAAUCAUGAAGAUAUGGAUUACACGUCACACCCACCUCCAGUUUUUGGUAUGUGGAGGUCCUUCUUCUAACCUCAUGAGGGCAAAUCGGGCGGCACUGAGCGACAAACCUCUUAUUCCAUCUCCCCAUUCCUUUUCAGCCCUGU